rnacentral:rRNA from 1 species
GACAGAGGAUGCAAGCGUUAUCCGGAAUGAUUGGGCGUAAAGCGUCUGUAGGUGGCUUUUUAAGUCUGCCGUCAAAUCCCAGGGCUUAACCCUGGACAGGCGGUGGAAACUACCAAGCUGGAGUACGGUAGGGGCAGAGGGAAUUCCUGGUGUAGCGGUGAAAUGCGCAGAUAUCAGGAGGAACACCGGUGGCGAAGGCGGUUCUCUGGGCAUGUCCUGACGCUGAGGAGCGAAAGCAUGGGGAGCGAACAGG